rnacentral:lncRNA from 1 species
GUUAACAUUAAACAACUGAAAAAAAAUCCACUUGGAAAAUGGUUAUGCCAAGGGAAAAAUAUUAAAUUCAUAAUAAAUUUUAAAAAUGUGAUACAAAAUGAAUUUUUAUGGUUUGUAAGAUUUAAGGUGCCUUUUCCCUUGUAAUAGAAGCUAUGUUUUUGCACAGAGGAGAAGUAUGGUAUUUUUUGAGAAGACAUGCUAUGAAUGAUGAAAGGCUCUAUUUCAGCAAGUCACAGGCAGAAAAGUCCAAAACAAUGGAAUAGAACUGCAGCAUUGUUGAAAGGUUUUACUCCCAUCACCCAGGUGGAGAGCAGCAGUGCAUUCAGGUGAACCUUGAUUUUUGUGGCAUGUAAAAUGGGGUUAAUAAAAGUACCACUAGCUAUGAGAAUUAGAUGAGU